rnacentral:rRNA from 1 species
UUAAGCUACUAAGAGCACACGGAGGAUGCCUAGGCGCUAGGAGCCGAUGAAGGACGUGGCGAACGACGAAAUGGCCUCGGGGAGCUGUAAGCAAGCUUUGAUCCGGGGAUGUCCGAAUGGGGAAACCCGACUGGAAUAAUACCCAGUCACCGCUGCCUGAACACAUAGGGCAGAGGGAGGCAUACCAGGGGAACUGAAACAUCUAAGUACCCUGAGGAAGAGAAAACAAGAGUGAUUCCGUCAGUAGCGGCGAGCGAACGCGGAACAGCCUAAACCAAGGGGCUUGCCCCUUGGGGUUGUGGGACGUCUCACAUGGAGUUACAAAGGAAAGUUAUAGGCGAAGAGGUCUGGAAAGGCCCGCUACAAGAGGUAAAAGCCCUGUAACCCAAAUAGCUUUCCCUCCGAGACGGAUCCCGAGUAGUGCGGGGCACGUGAAACCCCGUAUGAAUCUGCCAGGACCAUCUGGUAAGGCUAAAUACUCCCUAGCGACCGAUAGUGAAGCAGUACCGUGAGGGAAAGGUGAAAAGCACCCCGGGAGGGGAGUGAAAUAGAACCUGAAACCGUGUGCUUACAAGAAGUCAGAGCCCGAUUCAUAAGGGUGAUGGCGUGCCUUUUGUAGAAUGAACCGGCGAGUUACGUUCCCAAGCAAGGUUAAGGUGAGAAGCCGUAGCCGCAGCGAAAGCGAGUCUGAAUAGGGCGACUUUUAGUUUGUGGACGUAGACCCGAAACCGGGUGAUCUACCCCUGUCCAGGGUGAAGGUGCGGUAACACGCACUGGAGGCCCGAACCCACGUACGUUGAAAAGUGCGGGGAUGAGGUGGGGGUAGCGGAGAAAUUCCAAUCGAACUCGGAGAUAGCUGGUUCUCCCCGAAAUAGCUUUAGGGCUAGCCUCGGAAAUGAACAGUCGUGGAGGUAGAGCACUGAUUGGGUGCGGGGCCCGCAAGGGUUACCAAGCUCAGUCAAACUCCGAAUGCCAUAGACUGAUUAUCCGGGAGUCAGACAGUGAGUGCUAAGAUCCAUUGUCAAAAGGGAAACAGCCCAGACCAUCAGCUAAGGUCCCCAAGUGUGUGUUAAGUGGGAAAGGAUGUGGAGUUGCACAGACAACCAGGAUGUUGGCUUAGAAGCAGCCACCAUUUAAAGAGUGCGUAAUAGCUCACUGGUCGAGUGACUCUGCGCCGAAAAUGUAACGGGGCUAAACACACCACCGAAGCUAUGGCUUGAAUCGACUUCACUGCUUCUUUGAGGCUGGUGAAGACCUGGAUGAAACAUUUUUGUCAGACUUGAGAUGAAAUCAAGGAUGACCAAAUGCACCCAGGGGAUAAACACUCUUCGAAGGCGGAGUGAAGUCGAUUCAGGGGUAGGGGAGCGUUGUAUGCAGGUUGAAGGUGUACCGGAAGGAGCGCUGGACAGCAUACAAGUGAGAAUGCCGGUAUGAGUAACGAAAAGAUCAGUGAGAAUCUGAUCCGCCGAAAGCCCAAGGUUUCCUGAGGAAGGCUCGUCCGCUCAGGGUAAGUCGGGACCUAAGGCGAGGCCGAAAGGCGUAGUCGAAGGACAACAGGUUGAAAUUCCUGUACCACCGUAAACCGUUAUGAACGAUGGGGUGACGCAGGAGGGUAGUGACGCGGACUGAUGGAUGUCCGUCUAAGCAGUGAGGCUGGUGUGUAGGCAAAUCCGCACACUCUAUAAGGCUGGGCUGUGAUGGGGAGCGAAAAUUAUAGUAGCGAAGGUCAUGAUCUCACACUGCCAAGAAAAGCCUCUAGUCAGGUGAAGGUGCCCGUACCGCAAACCGACACAGGUAGGCGAGAAGAGAAUUCUAAGGCGCGCGGAAGAACUCUCGUUAAGGAACUCGGCAAAAUGACCCCGUAACUUCGGGAGAAGGGGUGCCCCGGUAGUGUGAAUAGCACGAGGGGGCCGCAGUGAAAAGGCCCAAGCGACUGUUUAGCAAAAACACAGGUCUGUGCGAAGCCGUAAGGCGAAGUAUACGGGCUGACGCCUGCCCGGUGCUGGAAGGUUAAGGGGAGCGGUUAGGAGCAAUCCGAAGCUGUGAACCGAAGCCCCAGUAAACGGCGGCCGUAACUAUAACGGUCCUAAGGUAGCGAAAUUCCUUGUCAGGUAAAUUCUGACCCGCACGAAUGGCGUAACGACUUGGGCGCUGUCUCAACGAGAGAUCCGGUGAAAUUUUAAUACCUGUGAAGAUGCAGGUUACCCGCGACAAGACGGAAAGACCCCAUGGAGCUUUACUGCAGCUUGAUAUUGGAUUUGGGUACGAUCUGUACAGGAUAGGUGGGAGCCGUUGAAACAGGAGCGCCAGCUUCUGUGGAGGCGCCGUUGGGAUACCACCCUGAUCGUAUCUAGGUUCUAACUUGGUACCGUGAUCCGGUGCGAGGACAGUGUCAGGCGGGCAGUUUGACUGGGGCGGUCGCCUCCUAAAGAGUAACGGAGGCGCCCCAAGGUUCCCUCAGAAUGGUUGGAAAUCAUUCGAAGAGUGCAAAGGCAUAAGGGAGCUUGACUGCGAGACCUACACGUCGAGCAGGGACGAAAGUCGGGCUUAGUGAUCCGGUGGUACCGCAUGGAAGGGCCAUCGCUCAACGGAUAAAAGCUACCCUGGGGAUAACAGGCUUAUCUCCCCCAAGAGUCCACAUCGACGGGGAGGUUUGGCACCUCGAUGUCGGCUCAUCGCAUCCUGGGGCUGAAGUAGGUCCCAAGGGUUGGGCUGUUCGCCCAUUAAAGCGGUACGCGAGCUGGGUUCAGAACGUCGUGAGACAGUUCGGUCCCUAUCUGUCGUGGGCGUAGGAAAUUUGAGAGGAGCUGUCCUUAGUACGAGAGGACCGGGAUGGACGUACCGCUGGUGCACCAGUUGUUCCGCCAGGAGCAUGGCUGGGUAGCUACGUACGGAAGGGAUAAGCGCUGAAAGCAUCUAAGCGUGAAGCCCCCCUCAAGAUGAGAUUUCCCAAUUAGUAAGACCCCUUGAAGACCACGAGGUAGAUAGGUUGGAGGUGGAAGUGCAGCAAUGCAUGGAGCUGACCAAUACUAAUCGGUCGAGGGCUUAUCCUA